GGCCUUUGUUCUCCUGAUGGAGGGGGUCGGGCGCGGGAUCUACUGGAGGAUCCUGGAUUCGUUUACCCAAGAGGGAACAGUUUUGAGACCCCCCGGAUUCACUGCGGAGUGGCCGCAGAGGCCGGGGUCGGCCUUUGCGCCGUGGCUUCGGGUGUUGUGGAGGCGCACAGAGGCACGUUAGUUGAUUUCCAGUGGUUUUUGGUUUCGGGGGUCUUAGGAAGGUGUGGCUCAUUUGAGCAGGAUGGAGAGAGAGGCUGUGACAAGGGUCUCUCCUCAGGGAUGACAUCAUCCGUCCACCUCCUUGUCUUCAAGGACCACCUCCUCUCCAUGCUGAGCUGCUGCCAAGGGGCCUGCUGCCCAUCUACACCUCACGAGGGCACUAGGAGCACGGUUUCCUGGAUCCCACCAACAUACAAAGCAGCCACUCACUGACCCCCAGGACCAGGAUGGCAAAGGAUGAAGAGGACCGGAACUGACCAGCCAGCUGUCCCUCUUACCUAAAGACUUAAACCAAUGCCCUAGUGAGGGGGCAUUGGGCAUUAAGCCCUGACCUUUGCUAUGCUCAUACUUUGACUCUAUGAGUACUUUCCUAUAAGUCUUUGCUUGUGUUCACCUGCUAGCAAACUGGAGUGUUUCCCUCCCCAAGGGGGUGUCAGUCUUUGUCGACUGACUCUGUCAUCACCCUUAUGAUGUCCUGAAUGGAAGGAUCCCUUUGGGAAAUUCUCAGGAGGGGGACCUGGGCCAAGGGCUUGGCCAGCAUCCUGCUGGCAACUCCAAGGCCCUGGGUGGGCUUCUGGAAUGAGCAUGCUACUGAAUCACCAAAGGCACGCCCGACCUCUCUGAAGAUCUUCCUAUCCUUUUCUGGGGGAAUGGGGUCGAUGAGAGCAACCUCCUAGGGUUGUUGUGAGAAUUAAAUGAGAUAAAAGAGGCCUCAGGCAGGAUCUGGCAUAGAGGAGGUGAUCAGCAAAUGUUUGUUGAAAAGGUUUGACAGGUCAGUCCCUUCCCACCCCUCUUGCUUGUCUUACUUGUCUUAUUUAUUCUCCAACAGCACUCCAGGCAGCCCUUGUCCACGGGCUCUCCUUGCAUCAGGCACGUGGGCCGUGGCCCGGCUGGGUCGGCUGAAGAACUGCGGAUGGAAGCUGCGGAAGAGGCCCUGAUGGGGCCCACCAUCCCGGACCCAAGUCUUCUUCCUGGCGGGCCUCUCGUCUCCUUCCUGGUUUGGGCGGAAGCCAUCACCUGGAUGCCUACGUGGGAAGGGACCUCGAAUGUGGGACCCCAGCCCCUCUCCAGCUCGAAAUCCCACGGGGACACCCUGCACCUAUUCCCACGGGACAGGCUGGACCCAGAGACUCUGGACCCGGGGCCUCCCCUUGAGUAGAGACCCGCCCUCUGACUGAUGGACGCCGCUGACCUGGGGUCAGACCCGUGGGCUGGACCCCUGCCCACCCCGCAGGAACCCUGAGGCCUAGGGGAGCUGUUGAGCCUUCAGUGUCUGCAUGUGGGAAGUGGGCUCCUUCACCUACCUCACAGGGCUGUUGUGAGGGGCGCUGUGAUGCGGUUCCAAAGCACAGGGCUUGGCGCACCCCACUGUGCUCUCAAUAAAUGUGUUUCCUGUCUUAACAAAAACUGAUGGAUGUGCUACUAAUA
rnacentral:lncRNA from 1 species